AAUCAACGCUGGCGGCGUGCCUCAGACAUGCAAGUCGAACGAUUAAAGCUCUCUUCGGAGAGUGCAUAGAGUGGCGCACGGGUGAGUAACACGUAAGUAAUCUACCUUCGAGUGGGGAAUAACGUCCGGAAACGGACGCUAAUACCGCAUAAUGCAGCGGCAUCGCAAGAUGACAGUUGUUAAAGAUUUAUCGCUUGAAGAGGAGCUUGCGGCAGAUUAGCUAGUUGGUAAGAUAAUGGCUUACCAAGGCUACGAUCUGUAACCGGUCUUAGAGGACGGUCGGUCACACUGACACUGAAUAACGGGUCAGACUCCUACGGGAGGCAGCAGUCGGGAAUUUUGGGCAAUGGGCGAAAGCCUGACCCAGCAACGCCGCGUGAAGGAUGAAGUAUGUCGGUAUGUAAACUUCGAAAGAAUGGGAAGAAUAAAUGACGGUACCAUUUAUAAGGUCCGGCUAACUACGUGCCAGCCGCCGCAGUAAAAC
rnacentral:rRNA from 1 species